rnacentral:rRNA from 1 species
CCUACGGGUGGCAGCAGUGAGGAAUAUUGGUCAAUGGGCGCGAGCCUGAACCAGCCAAGUCGCGUGAGGGAAGACGGUCCAGCGGAUUGUAAACCUCUUUUGUCGGGGAGCAAAGGCCGCCACUCGUCGCGUGCCGAGGGUACCCGAAGAAAAAGCAUCGGCUAACUCCGUGCCAGCAGCCGCGGUAAUACGGAGGAUGCGAGCGUUAUCCGGAUUUAUUGGGGUUAAAGGGUGCGCAGGCGGACGAUCAAGUCAGCGGUAAAAUGAAGAGGCUCAACCUCGUCGAGCCGUUGAAACUGGCUUGCUGGAGUGAGUGAGAAGUAUGCGGAAUGCGUGGUGUAGCGGUGAAAUGCAUAGAUAUCACGCAGAACCCCGAUUGCGAAGGCAGCAUACCGGCGCCAAACUGACGCUCAUGCACGAAAGUGUGGGUAUCGAACAGGAUUAGAUACCCUAGUAGUC